CCAGCACUGAAACAGGGAGCCCAAAACCACCCCUUCCCAGGGGCACAACGCCGCUGACACCCCGACGCGUGGUCCCAAACCUCUGAUGUGCUCGAGAAGGGAUCGCUCCGGGGACACGGCUGGCUUCAGGAUUUGGACCAACCAAAAUCCAGCCCUCAUGCUGCAGAUCGCCCUUGGCACAAGAGUUACCGGCAGAGGCCACCUUCGCCUCCCAUCUCCCACGCCUGCUCCGUGACUGGAAGAUCUUAAAGGUCCUUUCCAGCCUUCGUGAUUCUCUGAUUUUAUGAUUCUCGUGCUCCUCUGUGCCAGGACACAAACGCCCGAGCUGAGGGCGCCGAGCCCUGCCCCGCGGCUCUCCGCGCAGACUUUUCCCCGUUUCUCCUGUCACGGAGACCUCGAGGGCUGCUCUCGUGAAAGCAGCUCAGAACUAACGGCUCGUGUCAGGGAUGGAGUCACAGCAGCACAUCAUAAGGCGGUGACAGGGCGAUUCCUUUACAGCAGGGUGAGCGCUUAAUGGAGAAUUUUAUUAGGGGUCAGCAGCGGCCGACGCAGAGGCUACGCGCAGCUGGUGGCCGUGGGGCUCGCCAGCGCUUCUGUCCAUCGUGUUCUAAUACGAUCAAUAAACCAGAGCAGCAGGCAAAUGAUCACAAAUCACUGCCUGAUCUCCAUACCAGGAGAUGCUCUAGUGAGUAGCUCAAUAAAUCAAUGAUAACGAUAAUUUGCUGAACUUCUAAAUUGAAUGCAAAAUAAUUGCCAACCGAUGCUGCUACGGCACACGACGUUUCUAUCGUUACCCCAAACCAGAGGUUAGCAGAGACAAGAAUAAAUUCCCUAGAAAAGAUUGGGGCAAUAAAACAAUACAAACACUUAACCCCUUUCUCCCAACCACUAGAUCAAGCCCAGCUCCUUUAGUCAAAGCAAAGUCUUUGUUAAAAAUACCGAAAGAACAGGUGAAGCCUAAAUACAGAAGCAGUGUGCAUCCUAAAAAUAAUUUUGGCCAUGAAGCCCUCACUAUAAAUGGUUUAUUUGCUCACAAUCCAGAACAAUCUGGACACAGAGGAAACAAAUAUCCCUCCUGUGUAGCAGCUCCUGAUUGCUUGCUCCAGCUGGUAGGAGCUUCAAAAGAAAUCAGACAGACACAGGCACAUGCAAAUACACAGACACGAUCAAAGCAGUGCCAGACGAGAAAGGUUCGGGUUCUCAGCAAUCACAGGUUAACCAAGCUAGGUUUCAGAUAAACAGAAUAAGAAAAUUAACAGCUACAACGUAAGCUAUCAAUCGUUAAAAGGAAAUCUUUUAGCUGCCAAAACCCAAAGUCUCUAAAUAUGGGGCAAUAAACUUGCAGUCUCAAGGGUUCAGUGCUCUGUCUUGCAAGCGUUUCCCUUGCUUUUCUGUACACGGCAUCUGGUUUAAAAAUAAAAUUCCUGAAAGCCAUUACAGCUACAUAAACACGCAGAUCAAUUCUCCACACAGCCCCUUUUCCUCCAA